rnacentral:rRNA from 1 species
AUACGGAGGGUGCAAGCGUUACUCGGCAUCACUGGGCGUAAAGCGCGCGCAGGCGGUCUUUUAAGUUGGAUGUGAAAGCCUACGGCUCAACCGUAGAACUGCAUCCAAAACUAUUAGACUAGAGUGUGGGAGAGGAAGAUGGAAUUAGUUGUGUAGGGGUAAAAUCCGUAGAGAUAACUAGGAAUACCAAAAGCGAAGGCAAUCUUCUGGAACACUACUGACGCUGAGGCGCGAAAGCGUGGGGAGCAAACAGGAUUAGAAACCCUAGUAGUCC